rnacentral:tRNA from 1 species
GCCUGGCUGGCUUAGUCAGUAGAGCACGCGACUCUCGAUUUCAGAGUUGUGAGUUCAAACCCCAUGUUGGGUA